AUUGAACGCUGGCGGCAGGCCUAACACAUGCAAGUCGAGCGAGCGGCGGACGGGUGAGUAAUGUCUGGGAAACUGCCUGAUGGAGGGGGAUAACUACUGGAAACGGUAGCUAAUACCGCAUACCAUCAGAUGUGCCCAGAUGGGAUUAGCUAGUAGGUGGGGUAAUGGCUCAACAAGGCGACGAUCCCUAGCUGGUCUGAGAGGAUGACCAUCCACACUGGAACGGAGACACAGUCCAGACUCCUACGGGAGGCAGCAGUUGUGAAUAGUGCACAAUGGGCGCAAGCCUGAUGCAGCCAUGCCGCGUGUGUGAAGAAGGCCUUCGGGUUGUAAAGCACUUUCAGCGAGGAGGCGUUACUCGCAGAAGAAGCACCGGCUAACUCCGUGCCAGCAGCCGCGGUAAUAC
rnacentral:rRNA from 1 species